GGACCGGAGUGAACGCACCACUGGUGUUCGGGUUGUCAUGCCAAUGGCAUUGCCCGGUAGCUAAGUGCGGAAAAGAUAAGCGCUGAAAGCAUCUAAGCGCGAAACUUGCCUCAAGAUGAGUCUUCCCUGGGCCUUUAAGGUCCCUGAAGGAACGUUUAAGACUAAGACGUUGAUAGGCUGGGUGUGUAAGUGCAGCGAUGCAUUGAGCUAACCAGUACUAAUGAUCCGUGAGGCUUAACCUU
rnacentral:rRNA from 1 species